CAAUCAAGUGCCUUAAGGGUGUUCGGUGGAUGCCUUGGCGAUGAGAGGCGACGAAGGACGUGCUACGCUGCGAUAAGCCGUGGGGAGCUGCGAAGGAGCUUUGAUCCACGGAUUUCCGAAUGGGGAAACCCACCUUCGAUAGCCGAAACUCUAAGUUCACAACGACGCAAGUCGGUGUGGAUUUGGAUUUUCGGUUAUCAAGUGAAGGUAUGAGACUUCUGAAUACAUAGGAGGUUUCAAGCGAACCCAGGGAACUGAAACAUCUAAGUACCUGGAGGAAAGGACAUCAACCGAGACUCCGCUAGUAGUGGCGAGCGAACGCGGACCAGGCCAGUCAUAAAUGUGAGACAACCAGAACCUGUCAGGAAAGCAGGGCCUCAGAGGGUGAUAGCCCCGUAUGGGUAAUGCAAACAUUUAUGCUCGAGUAAGGCGGGACACGUGAAAUCCUGUCUGAACAUGGGGGGACCACCCUCCAAGCCUAAGUACUCCUCAUCGACCGAUAGUGAACCAGUACCGUGAGGGAAAGGUGAAAAGCACCCCGACGAGGGGAGUGAAAUAGACCUGAAACCGGACACCUACAAACAGACGGAGCCCAAGAUUAGUUCUGGGUGACGUCGUACCUUUUGUAUUAUGGGCCAGCGACUUAAUUUAACGAGCAAGCUUAAACCGAUAGGUGUAGGCGUAGCGAAAGCGAGUCUUAAUAGGGCGCCAAGUUCGUUGUAUUAGACCCGAAACCUAGUGAUCUAGCCAUGAGCAGGUUGAAGGUGAGGUAACACUCACUGGAGGACCGAACGGGUGUCUGUUGAAAAAGACUCCGAUGACUUGUGGUUAGGGGGGAAAGGCCAAUCAAACUGGGAAAUAGCUGGUUCUCCGCGAAAGAUAUUUAGGUAUCGCCUCGGAUGAAUACCUCAGGGGGUAGAGCACUGGAUGGGCUAGGGGGACUUACCGUCUUACCAAACCCAACCAAACUCCGAAUACCUGAGAGUACUAUCCGGGAGUCACACGGCGGGUGCUAACGUCCGUCGUGGAGAGGGAAACAACCCGGACCUACAGCUAAGGCCCCUAAUUCGUGGCUAAGUGGGAAAGGAUGUGGGAAUCCCAAAACAACCAGGAGGUUGGCUUAGAAGCAGCCAUCCUUUAAAGAAAGCGUAACAGCUCACUGGUCUAAAUAAGGGUUCCUGCGCCGAAGAUGUAACGGGGCUCAAGCCACGAGCCGAAGCUUAGGGUGUGCGCGCAAGCGUACGCGGUAGCGGAGCGUUCUGUAAGCCUGCGAAGGGCGACCCGUGAGGGCGCCUGGAGGUAUCAGAAGUGCGAAUGCUGGCAUGAGUAACGACAAACAGUGUGAAAGACACUGUCGCCGAAAGUCCAAGGGUUCCUGCGUAAAGUUAAUCUUCGCAGGGUUAGCCGGUCCCUAAGGCGAGGCCGAAAGGCGUAGUCGAUGGGAAUCACGUGAAUAUUCGUGAGCCAGUGGAUGGUGACGAAUCCCUUAUGUUGUCUGACCUUAUUGGAUUGGUCGGGCCUCGACGGGGUUCCAGGAAAUAGCCUCCACAUUAGACCGUACCCGAAACCGACACAGGUGGACUGGUAGAGUAUACCAAGGCGCUUGAGAGAACUAUGUUGAAGGAACUCGGCAAUUUACCUCCGUAACUUCGGGAUAAGGGGGCCCUCUAUGUACGCAAGUGCAUAGGGGGGGCACAGACCAGGGGGUGGCAACUGUUUAGCAAAAACACAGGGCUCUGCGAAAUCGCAAGAUGACGUAUAGGGUCUGACGCCUGCCCGGUGCCGGAAGGUUAAGAGGAGGAGUGCAAGCUCUGAAUUGAAGCCCCGGUAAACGGCGGCCGUAACUAUAACGGUCCUAAGGUAGCGAAAUUCCUUGUCGGGUAAGUUCCGACC
rnacentral:rRNA from 2 species